rnacentral:pre_miRNA from 1 species
CUUAUACUCCCUCCGUUUGGAAUUACUUGUCGUGAAAAUGGAUGUAUCUAGACGUAUUUUAGUUCUAGAUACAUCCAUUUCCAAGACAAGUAAUUCCGAACGGAGGGAGUAUCUU